rnacentral:rRNA from 1 species
UUGACCCGGCGAUGUCCGAAUGGGGAAACCCAGUGCAAUCCGUUGCACUAUCGUUAACUGAAUACAUAGGUUAACGAGGCGAACCGGGGGAACUGAAACAUCUAAGUACCCCGAGGAAAAGAAAUCAACCGAGAUUCCCCCAGUAGCGGCGAGCGAACGGGGAGCAGCCCGGAGUCUGAAUCAGCUUGUGUGUUAGUGGAACGGUCUGGAAAGUCCGACGGUACAGGGUGAUAGUCCCGUACACGAAAGCACACUUGCUGUGAACUCGAAGAGUAGGGCGGGACACGUGGUAUCCUGUCUGAAUAUGGGGGGACCAUCCUCCAAGGCUAAAUACUCCUGACUGACCGAUAGUGAACCAGUACCGUGAGGGAAAGGCGAAAAGAACCCCGGCGAGGGGAGUGAAAAAGAACCUGAAACCGUGUACGUACAAGCAGUGGGAGCCUCUUUAUGGGGUGACUGCGUACCUUUUGUAUAAUGGGUCAGCGACUUAUAUUCUGUAGCAAGGUUAACCGUAUAGGGGAGCCGAAGGGAAACCGAGUCUUAACUGGGCGUUAAGUUGCAGGGUAUAGACCCGAAACCCGGUGAUCUAGCCAUGGGCAGGUUGAAGGUUGGGUAACACUAACUGGAGGACCGAACCGACUAAUGUUGAAAAAUUAGCGGAUGACCUGUGGCUGGGGGUGAAAGGCCAAUCAAACCGGGAGAUAGCUGGUUCUCCCCGAAAGCUAUUUAGGUAGCGCCUCGUGAACUCAUCUUCGGGGGUAGAGCACUGUUUCGGCUAGGGGGCCAUCCCGGCUUACCAACCCGAUGCAAACUACGAAUACCGAAGAAUGUUAUCACGGGAGACACACGGCGGGUGCUAACGUCCGUCGUGAAGAGGGAAACAACCCAGACCGCCAGCUAAGGUCCCAAAGUCAUGGUUAAGUGGGAAACGAUGUGGGAAGGCACAGACAGCCAGGAUGUUGGCUUAGAAGCAGCCAUCAUUUAAAGAAAGCGUAAUAGCUCACUGGUCGAGUCGGCCUGCGCGGAAGAUGUAACGGGGCUAAACCAUGCACCGAAGCUGCGGCAGCGACACUAUGUGUUGUUGGGUAGGGGAGCGUUCUGUAAGCCGUUGAAGGUGUGCUGUGAGGCAUGCUGGAGGUAUCAGAAGUGCGAAUGCUGACAUAAGUAA